GACGAACGCUGGCGGCGUGCUUAACACAUGCAAGUCGAACGGAAAGGCCCUGCUUGCAGGGUACUCGAGUGGCGAACAGGUGAGUAACACGUGGGUGAUCUGCCCUGCACUUCGGGAUAAGCCUGGGAAACUGGGUCUAAUACCGGAUAGGAGCCAUUUUUAGUGUGAUGGUUGGAAAGUUUUUUCGGUGUAGGAUGAGCUCGCGGCCUAUCAGCUUGUUGGUGGGGUAAUGGCCUACCAAGGCGGCGACGGGUAGCCGGCCUGAGAGGGUGGACGGCCACAUUGGGACUGAGAUACGGCCCAGACUCCGACGGGAGGCAGCAGGGGGGAAUAUUGCACAAUGGGCGCAAGCCUGAUGCAGCGACGCCGCGUGGGGGAGGACGGCCUUCGGGUUGGAAACUCCUUUCGCUAGGGACGAAGCUUUUUGUGACGGUACCUAGAGAAGAAGCACCGGCUAACUACGUG
rnacentral:rRNA from 1 species